rnacentral:rRNA from 1 species
AGCUCGUGUCGUGAGAUGUUGGGUUAAGUCCCGCAACGAGCGCAACCCUCGACUUUAGUUACCAUCAUUAAGUUGGGUACUUUAAAGUAACCGCCGGUGAUAAGCCGGAGGAAGGUGGGGAUGACGUCAAGUCCUCAUGGCCCUUACGCGCUGGGCUACACACGUGCUACAAUGGCAAGUACAGUGGGCAGCAAUCCCGCGAGGGUGAGCUAAUCUCCAAAACUUGUCUCAGUUCGGAUUGUUCUCUGCAACUCGAGAGCAUGAAGGCGGAAUCGCUAGUAAUCGCGGAUCAGCAUGCCGCGGUGAAUACGUUCCCAGGCCUU